UACGUAGGUCCCGAGCGUUGUCCGGAUUUAUUGGGCGUAAAGCGAGCGCAGGUGGUUUAUUAAGUCUGGUGUAAAAGGCAGUGGCUCAACCAUUGUAUGCAUUGGAAACUGGUAGACUUGAGUGCGGGAGAGGAGAGUGGAAUUCCAUGUGUAGCGGUGAGAUGCGUAGAUAUAUGGAGGAACACCGGUGGCGAAAGCGGCUCUCUGGCCUGUAACUGACACUGAGGCUCGAAAGCGUGGGGAGCAAACAGG
rnacentral:rRNA from 1 species